rnacentral:rRNA from 1 species
AGCGCAGGCGGGAAACUAAGCGGAUCUUAAAAGUGCGGGGCUCAACCCCGUGAUGGGGUCCGAACUGGUUUUCUUGAGUGCAGGAGAGGAAAGCGGAAUUCCUAGUGUAGCGGUGAAAUGCGUAGAUAUUGGGAAGAACACCAGUGGCGAAGGCGGCUUUCUGGACUGUAACUGACGCUGAGGCUCGAAAGCUAGGGUAGCGAACG